AUCAGAUACAACAAAAGUAUUUAUUUUGAAGGAGCAAUUCUGUGUUGUAUGUGCAUAUUCUGUUGGAAGAAAAUGUUCAAACUGGAAGAGGAACAGGGAGGGAGGAAUAGGGAUAAAAAAUAAAAGAAAAGAAUGGAAGGAAAACAACAGAAAGAAAGUUCUCUAAAUGGAAAGGAGAAGAAUGACUGAAGGGAAGGGCAAGGAAAGGGGAAAAAGAAGAAAGAAGAUAUAUUAUGCAAAGAUUAAAGACAUCCUCAGCUUUGUACUGCUGCCGCCUGGACUGUUGACAGCCCAUUAAACAAAAGUCAUACAAGCUGUACAUCUUAACGCCUUGCUUCCAAAGUGCAACCAAAGUGACUGUUUUUAUAUGUAAGAGCAUAGCAUUUCUG
rnacentral:lncRNA from 1 species